rnacentral:misc_RNA from 1 species
UUUCCGUAGGUGAACCUGCGGAAGGAUCAUUCAUAAUAAGUGUUUUAUGGCACUUUUUUAAAUCCAUAUCCACCUUGUGUGCAAUGUCAGGGUUGUUUUUUCUCUCGAGAGGAUCAACCCCAAACAUCAACUAUAUCUAAACUCUUUGUCUGAAAAAUAUUAUGAAUAAAACAAUACAAAAUACAACUUUCAACAACGGAUCUCUUGGCUCUC